AGAGUUUGAUCCUGGCUCAGGAUGAACGCUAGCUACAGGCUUAACACAUGCAAGUCGGAGGGGAAACGACAUCGAAAGCUUGCUUUUGAUGGGCGUCGACCGGCGCACGGGUGAGUAACGCGUAUCCAACCUGCCCAUCACUUGGGGAUAACCUUGCGAAAGUAAGACUAAUACCCAAUGACGUCUCUAGAAGACAUCUGGAAAGAGUAUUAAAGAUUUUAUCGGUAGAUGGAUGGGGAUGCGUCUGAUUAGCUUGUUGGCGGGGUAACGGCCACCAAGGCGACGAUCAGUAGGGGUUCUGAGAGGAAGGUCCCCCACAUUGGAACUGAGACACGGUCCAAACUCCUACGGGAGGCA
rnacentral:rRNA from 1 species